GCCGAAGUGGCGGAAUCGGCAGACGCGCUACGUUCAGGGCGUAGUGGGCGCAAUCCCGUGCGAGUUCAAGUCUCGCCUUCGGCACCA
rnacentral:tRNA from 1 species